AUGUCUCCUUGCCACCGAUUCACGCCCUUCACAUCUCCUCACUGCCGAUUCACACCCUUCACGACUCCUCUCCGCCGAUGUUAUAACUGUUUCUUACAUCAUUCUUAUAUUUUUAUGCUAUAUGUUCAGUUUCAGUUUGAGUUCAGAAUUGGUUCAACUCAGUUUAUGUUGGGUUCAUGUGUGGCUUGGAAUUGCUUUCAUUUUGGUUCAAUCUUUGACUCUAACUUAAGUUACGGUUGUGGUUUAUGA